rnacentral:lncRNA from 1 species
AAGGUAAUCAAUUCAUAUUACAAAUAUAUUCAUGGUUUCGAAUUAACCUCUAACCAACAUAAAUUUAAUUACACAUUAUUAAAAACAGAAAUAAAAGAGAAGUUUGGAAAAAUUAAACCGAAAGAGAGAGAGUGCUUCAGUGUUCUGUCUGUCCCUGCGCACUGCUUCUGCUCUGCUGCCGCGCCUCUGACCUGCCCUCUGACUUCCGUCAGUCUCUCCUAUUUUUUCUGUGCAGCCUCACGCUGCCCAAAGGCAGCUUAUUUUUCUGCGUCUUUUUCCGCUUCUCCAAGUCUCUCCGCGUCAAUCUCCCCCAGCUGCAAAAGCAGCUCCCUGACUUCCUUCUGCUUUCCGUCUCUCCCUGACCUCACUGCCAAAGGACAGCGUUAUUCCCCCCGUGUCUCUAUCUCCACGCAGCUCAGCUGCUUCUGUUCCUGUCCUGCUGCACGCUGCCAAAGGCAGCUCUCUCCUUCCACCUGUCUCUCAAGCUGCCAAAGGCAGCUCGGCUGCUUCUUUCCGUCCCUCUCUCCCCCCCAGCUGCCAAAGCAGCUUUUCUUUCCCUUUUAUUCUUUCACCGUCCCCGUGUGGACUCUCCCUAACCUGCCCUCUAUCUUUAUUUUUUUAUUCCAUCUUUCUUUCCAGCUGCAAAGCUUUAGCUUUUUUUAUUCUUUUCUUUCCUCUUGUUCUCUGCUUUUGACUCCUUGGAUUCCUUCUCCGCGUCCAGCUGCAAAGCAGCUCUCUCUCUUGGAUCCCUUUCACGUUUUCUGCUUUUCUCUAUUGCUCACGCUGUCUCUCCACUUUCUUCUCCUACAAACACAAUAAAUUAAAAGUAUCAUAAAUACUUAAAGCUUUAACUAAAUUAGACAAGACAAGAAAAGAAAUAUAAAAGGAUGAAAUAUAUAGUUUAAAUAUUGGUUUAUCAUUUAGCGUCACAAUGGGUUGGCAAUAUUGUAAUUUAAUUUUGCUUUUGACGAAUUUAUUACAUAAAAUUUCACUUGUUCUAUUUUUAUUUUCUUUGCAUAACAAAACCUAUAAACACAAAAAUAAUGUAAAUAGCUCAAAAAUAUAAGGAACUAACUAAGAAAAGACGAGUGAAUUUGAAGUAAAAAUAUAUAUAAAUAUCAUCCGAUCAUGGCUCAACCAUGUUGUGUCUUCUCCUUCCUCUCUUUCAAAACGGUGACGGUAGAAUCGUGGGCCAUAUAUCCAUUUCAUACCCUUGCUUUUGUUGCUCACUUCAAUACUCAUACAUGGAUAAGGCGAAUAACUCCAACUGUAGUCCUUGUUUGCAUAGGUAGCAAAUAUAUUCAAGUCCCGAAUUUUUUGACUUGAAAGAGAAGGCACAAUAAAAGAUAUUGAGGAAUUUGUACUUUUAUAGCUGAACCGGCCAGGAACCUUAUUCCCCGCAAAAAAUGUGAUGCAUAUACCAUGUUGAUCAAGUCCCUGUAUGAAUGACACGGAAACGACUAUAUUGUCAACUUAUUCUGAUAAGAGAGAGAGAGAGAGAGAGAGAGAGAGAGAGAGAGAGAGAGAGAGAGAGAGAGAGAGAGAGAGAGAGUGAGAGGCACCUGAACGGGACUCCAAACCCAAUCAACUUGUUUAAAAUUUCCUCAUUUCCAAUUACACUCUUGUUCUCACCCUUAUAGGUCAACGCUCUCAACCCAUAGGAUUGAAAGGUUAUUUGUUUUAGUGAUAAGCAACCACAUACAUCCAUGAAUGUUAUUUUUUGGCAACCCCACAAGUGAUUCGAGCGUCUUACAGUAAUUAAAAGAGAGAGAAUUGAGCUUCAUCAAACCUUUGAUGAAAACAGGUAGGCUACAAAUUGGAUUAUCAUCUAAACAGUCUUUGCAAUAAGGAUAGAUUACUUAAAUCCGUAGCAAAGGCAUCAUCAAAAGAUUGCAACUACGAAGUCUUAACUCUACUAAAGAACAUGGCAAAUAAGUCAAGAUACUUGAACUUCUUCCGGGCCAUAAUUCACUUCUGGGAAUUCCAUUGGUUUCGAGCAUUUUUAAAGAUUUCAUCUUCUUCAUCUCAUCAAGAUUUGAGCACCAAGAUAAAAUUAGAGUCUCAAGUGAUUUUAGCAUGCACAUGUUCUUUGGAAGCAUCCUAAGGUUCUUGCAAUCCUCCAGAUUCAAGAACACAAGUCUCUCUAGGUUUCCAAUGGAUUCAUGAACAUCAAGCAGGCUUCCACAAUCUACAAGAAUCAAUUCCUCUAGAUUGGGGCAGUAUGAGAAGUCCAUGGUUUGACUAAGGCCAUGAGAAUGGCUCACAUCAUGGCUCACAUCAAGGAUCUUCAAUGAUGGAAGAAACAGCAAGAAAAAAAAAAUUAAAAUAAAGAAAAAAGAGAAAUAAAAUUUGUGGGAGUUAAUUCUAACAUAUGCAAUUAGUCAACGAAUCAAAACUUUAAAAUGAAAAAGAAGGAAAAGGAAUUGAGAUGCACAGAGUAACAUACUUUUGUUCCUUUGUAGACUUCUCUCAAGCUACUAUAUUGCAUUUCAAGAACAAUUAGACACUCCAAAGGAAAAUCAAUGGGUAUAGAAUCCAAAGGAAAUUCAAGCCUUCACAACCAUCUUAAUCCUGUAGAGAAAUCUGCAUAAUAUCCCUCCAGCUGUACACGUCUAAGAUGAGUAGUUGUAAUUUGUGUAUCCUUUCAAAUGCAUUGGUUUCAAAGAUUGUCUCAUUUGUGUGUAUUGGACUGUUUGCAGGAUGCCCAUGCAUGUCCAGAACAAGACCUUGGAUUGUUUGUGUACCCUAAGGACAAAAAAGUGGAACAACAUUAGUAUGGAUAUUUUUCACAAGAAGAGAAAAACAUAUAAAGACAUGAAAGAUAUGUUUCUUACAUUCUUCUCUCAGUACUUCAAAAGAAUCCUUACGGCACCAUAAUCUACUACGUUUCCCAGGCUCUUCUAAUUCUAGGCGAACUGUAUCUCUUCCCAUGUCACGAAUCAGGUCAUGCACGUUCACCUUGUUAUCAUUAUCAAUUUUCACCAAGCAUCUAUCAAUGAGAUUUCGAAUGCCAACAGUUGUAUAGAAAUCACAUCAAUCCAUUAUUCUAACAAUGUAGUUUUUGUCCCUUCUUAUUAAGAAACAAGCAAUGUGGAGGAAUAAUUUCCGAUCAUAGUCAUCUUGUAAACUGUCAUAGCUUAUUCUUAGUUUCUUCAUGAUUUCGUCAUUAGGAAUGACUUUUAGCUUCUCCAAUGCACUUUUCCACACAUCCAUACUCUCACCUAACAAAGAAGAACCCAAAACUUGAAGAGCUAAUGGAAGUCCUCCACUAUGUUGCACUAGCUCUUUUGAAUAUUCCAUGUAACCUUCACGGGGAUGGUCCUGGCCAAAUGCAUGCUAGCUUAAGAGCUCCAAUGGUUCAUCGUAAUCCAAAGUUUCAACCUUGUGGACCUCAGUAACUUGAUGUGCCUUUAACAACCUUUCACACCUUGUUAUGAUUAUUUUGCUUCCGGGAUAAAACUGAUCUUUCAUCCGUAGUACUGCAUCUAAUUGGUCCAUAUGGUCUACAUCAUCAAGAACAAGAAGAACUCUUCUAGAGCUUAUGGCUCUUUCAAUCUUACUUAUUCCUUCACUAACGUUGUGUACUUUCUCCUUUUCCCCUUCAAAAUAUCAUAAAGAAGUUGCAUUUGUAUUUGAACUAACCUAUUCGGUUGAUUUUCCGUUUCUUUGAUAUUUUCAACAAAGCUGCUUCCUUCAAAACUUGUGAAAUUUGAAUUGUAAAGAUAUUUAGCAAUGGUUGUCUUCCCUAUUCCAGACAUCCUACACACAGUAACUAUACCAACAUCAGUUGAUCCAUCUUGUAACCAUAAAUUGAUGUGUUUGACUAGAGAUUGGAUUCCAAUCAAGUUGGAUUGAACACUCAAGGGUGUGCGAAUUAGCUUGUCACCUAUCACCUUAACAAUUUGUGUGAUAAACUUUGACUCGUGCCUAAGAAUUUGCAAACAAAAUAAAAUAUAAAUCAAACAUGCUGUGUACCUAAGAAAGUUAUAUAGGUACGAACAACUGGAGGGAAGCUAAACUUAUACAUUAUUUUGAUAGCAUGCUUAGGUUAGGUUAAAAAUUAAAAUGAAACUUUGGUGACAACAUAAAACAAGGGAAGCUAAACGUUGGUGCCAACAUAAAACAAGGGAAACGAAAUUAUGAAAGUAAUUAUUUGCAUUUUUUGUAAAAGAAGUAUAGUAUGCACGUAUGUCAAGUCUAGAUAGGUCGUAGGUCGUACCCAGUGCACAAGGCUCCCGCUUUACGCAGGGUCUGGGAGAGGUGAAUGUCGGCUAGCUUUACCCCCAUUUAUGGAGAGGCUGCUCCCAAAUGUCAAGUCUAGAUAACCAAACAAAUUUAAGCUGAGAUGUCAAGUCUAGAUAACCAAAUUAAUUUAAGCUGAGAGGAGGAAAUUCGAACUCGACAACUUCAGGACACAUGGGGUUUAGAGAUGAGAACAAAUUGUUCAUGUGAAAAAUGAAGGCAAAACAAAUUGUUGGUUAAAAAAACAAAUUACCCUUCCAAUAUUGACACUAUAAAGAUAAAAGAGAGAAAAUGAAAGUUACCCAUCAGCUUCAUUUGGUAAGACCAUCCCUGCUAGAUCAGCAACCUCAACAAGAGCCUUCCUCCAUCGCCUCACCGUAUUCGGCAACUGAGUUUUCUCGUGUCUAGCAAAUGCUUUUCCAAUGCUUCCCGUCUGCUUCCUCAUAUGGGAUGGAUCGACAUCGUAGAAGAUUGGUAAUACUAAAUGGUCCGAGGUAGUCCUCUUGUGUUCAAGGAUCAUGACAAGCCCAUCAAGGCACCAUUUGGAUGACGCGUAAUAUUUGGAAAACACGACAACAGAUGUUCGUGACAGCCGGAUUGCUUUCUGUAGUCCUGGCUUGAUAUCUUCUCCUCUGUCAAGUUCGUUGUCAUCUCGGAACGUUAGAAAUCCUGCGUUGUUCAAGGCCGUGUAGAGGUGGUCGGUAAAAGUCCUGCGAGUGUCUUCGCCUCUGAAUCUCAAGAAAACAUCGUAACGGUAACCCCGACAAGUGUUGGAAUCAGAGGAUGUUCCUUGAGCAGCUCUCACAAGAGCCAUGGUUUACGAUCGAUGAACAAACAAGGGGAUUGCUCGUUGUCCUUGCAGGGGAAAUAUUUAAUGCUUUAAUUAAUUGGGUCAUUCCAAUCUUUUUUAUUCAAACGAGGGGUCAUUCUUAUUAUCUACUUCCUGGAAAAUCUACAACCAAAUCUAAUUAGUCGUUUUAGUCAAGCACAUGAAAACGCGUCUUGUUUUUUAUAUAAUUGAAGCCAGACACAAUAUACAAGUUAAUUAUUUGUGUUGUCUUUUAUCUACUGCUUACCAAAAAGAAAAGAGAAUAUUAGAACCGAUGUGUAUGUGUUUACAUUAAAAAAAAAAAAAUCAAACAAUGUUAUAAAUAGGUAAAAGUGAGAAAAAGAUAACCUUUGUUAGAGAUAAAAAUGGAAUAGAUGUAAUAUAUCACACAAAUAAUGCAGGUAAAGAGAAGAGAGAGAUAUUGGUAUUAUUUCUUUCACAAAUAAUGCAAGUUGAAAACCCUGUUAUCCAAUAAUAACAAAAAAAAAACUAUGACAAUACCACAAUUUUUAGUCCUUAUUUUUUCACUUUUGACUAAGCCAUAUGGCAUUCAUUCACAUAACUUUUACAACACUACCUCUUGAAUGCCCAUACAUCACCAUUAGUUGUCUCGUUAAACCUUGCUAUGCAAAAUGUAGUGAGAAAUAACCGUAGCGAAGGAAAGAGAGUGCAUCUUUUCUUGAAUUAUUGAUAUAGCGUUAAGUAAGUUAAUGUUGCCUCGUUAAAACCUUGAUAGGAAAAAUUCAAUGAAAAAAAUCCUAGUCGAAGGAAAAAGAAUACAACAUGCAUGUCUUGAAUACUAUCCUUGAUGUGUAUCUCUUCCUAAUUCCACAUUCUUCAAUUUGAUUGAUUGAUAAGCCGACGUAAUCUGAUAGCAUGGUUUACGAUCACUGAGCAAACAAAAGGAUUGUUGUCUUUGCAGGGGAAAUAUUCAGGGUUUAAUUAAGAAAGUUUUAACGAAAAGCCCGCGGUACUGUUCACUUUAACGAAAAACCAUAUUUUUACACUAAAAAGUCAAUCAUGGUACUAUUCACUUUACCCUUUUUUUUGUCCUUAUCGUUAAAACUCAAAGUUUUUUAGCCUUUUUCAUUAGUUUUCCUUUUAAUAAUUGGUUCAUUCCUAUCUACUUACUGGAAAAAUUACAAACAAAUAUAAUUGGUCGUUUUAGUCAAGCAAAUGAAAACGCCUUGUCUUUUUAUAUAAUUGAUAGGAGCAUAUUUAUGCGACUUAGUUAGCUUGUUUUCUUGCAUUUUCGUAGUUAGUUUAUGUUUAUUAGAGUGUUUUAAGCUAUUUUCGUGUGUUUGUAGGUCCAAAUGACAAAGUUGACAAAAAAGUGCAUUUUGGAGCAUUGUAGAGCAGUUUUGGGCCAAGAAUGAAUAGCACAUGCAUGGAGCAAGGUGGAUGGACGUUUUUGAAAUUCAAAGAGACUAGGAAUGUGCUACAAAUCUGGAGAAAUAAAGUCAAGACAAAGAAGAUAAGGAAUCAGCUAAAAGGAAGGAACAUUAUCCAAAACAUUAUCGAACCUUAUCUUAUUUUAUCAUAUCUCAAUCUUAUCCUACCUUAAUUCCAGCUGUAAGGGGGACUCCUUAUCACAUUAGAAUACCUAAUAUCUAAUUCUAGAAGCCCUGGAAUAAUGCAAAUAACCUGAUCCUUUUCCCCCUAGAAAUCUAACGAAUUUCCUACUCCCUUUCAUCCUAGGAUUGUGUAAUCCUUUUUCCUUUAGAAAUUGUGAAAACCCUAGCCUAUAAAUACAUAUUUUAUACCACAAUUUCGAACCACCACCCCCCAUAUAUUCGUACAAACAACCAUUCACCACAAUUCAGACCAUCUUCCAUCACAAUUUCGUGCCGUACAUCUCUUUAGUGCCGCAGCUUUGCAAGGAGACAGGAGAGGAGCCCCUAGAGCCGUGCUUGCCAUUCAAGACGUUGGAUUGUUGGAACGUUUCUAGGCGUAUUCUAUCUUUGUUUUCAAUGUUUAAAUGUAAUUGUCUUUGUUUAAUUGCGAACAUGAGGAACUAAUUUCUUUAUAGUUGAAGGUGAAUUCGAAGCCAUGAUUAUAUGUUUUAUAUGAAUUGAUUACAUUCAGUUAUUGUUUCUUGAGUCUUGAAUGUGAAUUGCUUAUCUAAGUUAUCAAAACUUGUUUAUGUAUGUUGAUUAAGGGUCGACACUUAAUUUGCAUGCAUGAAUUUGAUGCUAGAGUGUAAAGGAGUUUCACCUAAUCGUUAUGAACUUAUAUUCACAAGUAGUGGAAGUCACUAGUCAUGAUUGUGUUAAGUAAAUCCUAGACAGGAGUAUCAUGCUUUUCAUAGUUACGAAUGUCUUGUCAAUACUUAUGGUUUUCAAAGAACUUAAUGACCUUUGAUAUGUCUCUCUAUCAUGCUUUUCAUAGUUAGGGAACUUGAUAAGGAUAAUUUGGUUGUGAUGUGUAUCCCGUCCAAUUCAAUGAAUUAAGGAAAAUCUGAUGGUUAAUUUAUGCUAUCACGGUUAACUUGGGGUGUUGUCAUUCAUAGAUAAAAGGAAUAAUAACUGGAAAUUGGUUUGUAUAUGCAUAUGUCAUGGGUACUCUGGCUAAGUUUUCAUCAUUUAAUUCACCUAAUUUGCUUUGUUUUGCAAUCUGUUUAGUUUAGUUAAAUUUCGUCCAAAUCAAUCCCUCUUUUAAUUAAGUGUCUUAGUUUAGUUAAUUUCGAUCAAAUUUGUCCGCAUUUAGUAUUUUGAAUCAAGUUAGUUUAGAAUUCGUCCAAAUCACUCUUUAGUAUUUGUUUUGAAUCUUUUUAACUUAGUUUUGUUGUUUUCAGUCAAUUUGGUCAGUUUUGAGUCAUAAGAGUCUAGUUUAGUGUUUUAAAGUUUAAAUUAAGUAGAUUAGCAUCCAUUCUAAUCUCCGCCCUAAAACGAUCCCUACUUUCAUAUACUACAAUUAUAGGGUUUUAAUUUGAGUGUUAGAAUAUUUCACAUCAAUAAUUGAAAACAGAGACGCUAUACAAGUUAAUUAUUUGUGUUCUUUUAUUAACUGCUUACCAAAAAAAAAAAAAAAUUGGAAAUUUGAACCGACUAGAAAGUUUUGCCCAUGCGUUGUUGCGGUGCAUUGCUGCCAGAGUAGAAAUUGUGCGAAAAAUUAUGUUUCAAAGGUAUAAACACAUCAACUUAUCACAUCUAAUUAAAUUCCUGUGACAACAUAUUGACACACUUAAUAUGAAAAUUCAUAAACUAUUUCACAAUAUGAAAUCAAGCAAUCUCUAAAGGUGAGAAAUGGAGCUUAGAAUAUAGAAAUCCUACCUCAUAUAUUAAAGCAAUUAACAAAUUCUCAGUGAAUGAUAACAAAAAAGGUAUAGAUAAGUAAUUCAAUUUCUUAAUUUCAAAAACGGAAAAGAUUAAAAAAAAAAGGUUCAAAGUUCUCAGAUCUCACCAUAAUGAAAAUUACGAUAUCGUUUUCACAUGAACUUGGGUUGAUCUCGGUCACCAGCAUUAAUAAACCAGUUACUUCAACCUGUGCAAGCAGGUGACUGAAUUAGACGCAAGCCAACCAACUUCCAUUUUAACCAAAUCAAAAAAGUAAUCACAACCAAAUGAACCUCUUCUUUCCAUACGAAGUAGAUGAUGUCCCUUGUUUGCCUUUGUGAAUAGUGCACUCUUGACUCUCAACACACAAAAAGAACACACUCAAAAUGCUCAGCAACAUACACAAUACUGUGUAUGUAUUUCAACUUAAAGUGUUAAAGAUUUACCAACAUAAUCAAGGUUAAAUUUAACAAAAGAAGUAACUAGGAAUUGAAAUCAAACAAUAUAAUAGUAGUUAAAAAGAAUUAUGACUAAAUUUUACAAACAGCAUCAUAAAUUGUUAAAAAAAAAUAACACCAUUGAAAAAACACACUACUCAAAUCUGUAAAAUACAAAACAUGACUAAACUCCGAAAUUCCCAACGCAUACAUCAAUUUAAAAGCCUACAAAUCAUAAGAAAAACAAAUGUUGAGUUGGCAGUAACCUUGCAAUGUCCAAAAACAAUUUGACCAUAAAAAUGUAAACCCAUCUCAAUCAGUGUCAAUCGAAACACUUUAUUGGUCUUAUUUAGACCAUUGUAAAAUCUUUUUUGAUGCUUAGACAGUGAAUUUUGGUUUUUGCUUGGGGUCGUUUAAUAUUUAGUAGAUGAUGUUAAAUAUUUUGUAGAUGUAAAUACUGAAAUUUUAUGUUAUUAUUGAACAAACAAUCUAAAAACCAAAUUAAUGCAUGUAGGCUUAUCCCCUGUAUUCUUAAGAGGACCUCAUUCACUUCUUAAUUCUACUUUACAUGUCUAACACUCUACACUUCAUCUGUAGCCUAAAACAAUAGAACAAUAUAGUAAAUGGUAGAAAUAAAAAAUUAAUUUUGAAAGCUUCCUAAUACAAAUUACAAACACAUCAAUUCAUAAUAUGAUAAAGAUUACCCACCCAAUAUACUAUAGUUUUUAAUAUUUCAUACACUCAUGGAUUAGAUAAAAGAAAGGAUAUCUAUGUCAGAUUAAUGAAACCAUCAAUCAUUAACUACAUUAUUAAAACUCAUGGAAAACAAUAAAGUAGACUAUUCAUAGUAAUAAAAGAUGGAAUUAAACUGCAAAUGUGUUAAUUAUUACCAUGGAGUCAGAAUCUGGUUUGGGUGUUUUUGACAAAUUAGUUGGCAAGUUAUUGGGUCUUUAUGUAUUUAUUUAACACAAUUUGGCAAGUGUUGUACCACUUUCCAUAUCGUGUAUCAAAGCGCUUUACAUAUACACGUUUCGUUUUGCAAAAUAUUUUAACAAAGAUUGAUAUAAGAGCAGUAAUCAUCAGAUACAUGGCUUUUACUGAAGAUGUAAAAAUGCAAUUACAGGAUUUUAAUCAUAUAUAAAAAGAUGUAAUUAGCAAUUCUACCUUGUGAUAGGAGCAUUUUUAUGCGAUUAAUUGGCUUGUUCUCAUGCAUUUAUGUUGUUUUUCCUUAGUUAGUUUAGUGUUUAAAGUCAUUUUCGUGCAAUUUCAGGUUUUAUUGUCAAAGUAUGCAAAAAGGAGCAUUUUGGAGCUUUUAGGAGCAAAAUUGGGCUUGGAAUGAAGUGCAUAUGCAUGGAGCAAGGAGUUUGGAUGAAUUUGAAGUGAAAACAUCAAAUGAACAUGCUAAAAAUCUGGUGAAACAAAUACAAAGUGCAAGAAGGGAUAAUUUCUAAAAGGAUUGGCCAAAACUUCACUCAAAACACAUCAAUGCCGUGACUUUUACUUCCACCUCCACCAGAAAUUUGAGUAAUGAUGCAAUGCUUAAAUCACCAUGACAUGUGAGUGGAUGAUGCAAUGCUUAGCUAACCAUGACAUGUGAGUGGAUGACUCAAAACCUACCCCAACAACAAUUCCCACUCUUGCCGUGACUUACCUACCCAUUCCACCAGAAAUUUGUGCUUAAACAAGUCCAUCAUCUCCCUAUAAAUACCAUGCAGCAACCUCAUUGAAUUCAUCCAGAAAUUAACCAUUCUCCAAGCCUUUCCUUGCCUCUCCUAUAUAUCUAAACCCCUUCCCAUCCAUUCCUCCAAAUAACCAACCCUUCAACAUCAUUCCAACCUUGUUGUGGCGGCAAGGAGAAGGAGAAAAGUCCUUGGACGCGCUUGCUAUCCAACAUGGAUCGUUGGAACGUUUAGGUGCUUUCUUCCCUUUGUUUUUCAAUGGUUAAAUUUGUUUAUCUUUGUUUUGUAAUAAUGAGGAACUAAACCCCCCUUGGCUAGGGGGGAUUCAAAACCAUGUUUAUGCUUGCUAUAUGAUUUGAUUACUUCCAAUUGCGUUUCUUGAAUUGUGAAUUCAAUUUACUUAUCCGUUCGUAUAAAAACUAAUUUGUGUAUGUUGGUUGAGAGUGCACGCUUAAUUUUCAUGCAUGAAUUUGACGCUAGAAUAUAAGGGAGUUUCACCUAAUCGUUAUGAACUUAUAUUCACAAGUAGUGAAGGUUGCUAGUCACAAUCACGUUAAGUAAAUUCUUGGCAUAAGUUUCAUGCAAAUCAUAGUAACGAGUGCCUCGUCAAUGCUUAUGUUUUUCAUAGAACUUAAUGAUUCUUGCUUGUAUCUCUAUUAUGCAAUUCAUGUAGGGAACUUGUAGGGAAUGUUUUGGGUUGUCGUAUGCAAUCAUCCAAUCUAAUAACUUGUUGAAAAACUGAGAGUUAAUUAGUGCAAUUCACGGUUAAUUUGGGGCGUUGAGUAUUCAUAACUUAUCGAAGAGCAAUUGGAAAUCAUUUUGUAUGCAAGCAAGACAUGUGUGGAGAAGAACCCCUUAGCUAGCCUUCCAUUAUCCAUUCAACCCAAAUUUGUUUAAAAUCUAUUUAAGUUUUUAGUUUAUUCGUUUUUACUUUCAACUUCACCAAACUCAAAUCCCCCUUUUACUUUCUUGUUUUAAAAUCUUUUGUUUACAUUUUUAACUUUGUUUCUUUUUGUUUUUGAGUCAAUUUAGAGGUUUUAGCAAGCCCUCCUAAUCCCCGGUUUAGAACGAUCCCUACUUACAUACUUUGCUACAAUUGUCAAAAAGAGGGUUUAAUUUGUGUGUCAAGUAAUUCUCGCAUCACCUUGUACAAAAAUAGAUCCAAAUAACCCAAUUGUUCGAUUCUCACUUAUUUGUCAGUCCGAAGAAUUUCAGUUUCAUUUAUGUGUCUUGAAGGAGGAGGCAGUAAUUUGAAAGGUUGUGUGCAAUUCGAAAAUUUGCAGGAGUUUAGAGAUUAUAUAUGGAAUUGGUAGGUGCGAUUAUAUAUUUAUUCAUAUUCAUCGAUUUUAGCUUAAAUUAAAGUUUAAAGAAAUAUAUAUUAAUAUUGAAGAAUAAACAGAAUCUGACACAUGUACAUUUAUUCUUACAUGGCAAUAGUAUAAGAGAAUGAUUUAGUUACCAUUGCAUCAACACAUAUAAUAUGAGAGUCAGACAACCGGCCAGCAGAGUUGAAAUGUUGAAGUCUCCAAAUUCUGCACACGUGAACUCUAACUUUUUCUUGGAUUGAAAGGCCUCCAAAUUGCAGAUUGAAACUAUAUUCAUUGUGCUAAAAAUCUGAAAGUAAAAUAAACAUGUGUAAAAGAGCAAUAAUUAAAAUGUUAGAUCAUAAGAUGAAAAAAGUUAAUCAAACUCCAUAAUAUAUUUGUUUCUAUCAUGGAACUUUACAAAUCAUACAAAUUUUUUAAAGAAACAAAAAUAAAAUAUUGAAAUCAAUAUUUUAAUGCAUUCCUAUCGGGCAGUGGUAAAGUAUAAAUUUUUUAUUCGGUACUUAAACUUAUAAAGUAAUUAAAAGUGCGUGAACGAUAGUAAAAUGAACGGUGAAUUAGUGAUAGCUUAAAAAAUGAGUGAUUAACAUCAAGGGUACAGGAAAUUUGAUGUUAUGAUAUGAAGAAUAGUAUACAAAAUUUAAUUAAAAUCAAGGGUAGAGCAAUUAGGUAAGUACAAAAUGCCUGAACAAUAGUACAUGAAAUUUAAUGAUAGCUUAAAAACUGCGCUUCGCAGAGCCAUGAUACUUCUAGCCGUGCAACCUGUUAUACAAAAUUGAUUAAGCGUGCAUUAGUAAUUCAUAAAAAUUUAAAAACUAUAGCAUGCCUUGAAUUAUACCACUCAACAUUUCUCUUGCCAAAUUCAACUUGCCGAAAACAAAGUACCAUACGCUAACAUAAAGUAAGUGUUGGGCUUUUUCCAGCCCAUGAUAAGUUGUCCUAAGUCUAUUGGGAAUUAAUAGUUUUAGAGGAUUAAAUUGUUUUCCCAAUUGGAGUAGGAUUCAUAACUAGAUUCCAAUUAGGAUUAAUAAUCCUUAUUGAAGAAGACCUUUAUUAUGUCUAUAUAAAAGGGCUAUUGUACUAGUUUUGAGAAGGGGAGCAAAACAAUAAAUUGUAUACCACUCAAGAAUAUUGUAAAGUAUGUGCAAGAGAAAAGAAAAGAGAGUGUGUAUUUCUUGUUCUUGUUCUUUCAGGUUUUUCAUCAAGUCCUAGUUCUAGAGAUUUGGCAAGAUUAUUUGUUGUACUCAUUAUUGAUAUAGUAAAAGAUUAUUGUUGCUGUCUUGUGGACGUAGGCACAUAUUGCCGAACCACGUAAAUUCUUGGUGUUUUUUAUCUUGGGUAUUUGUUUUUCGAUUUCCGGAGUUUGUUCUUGUUUUUCCUAUUCUUAAACGCGAUAUUCUCAACAAGUGGUAUCAGAGCCUGCUUUGGCUAAUAUCCGUUUAGAAUGGAGGGUGCAACCUGCUUUAAUUGGGUUACGUGGAAAUCAAGAAGAGGACAUGCUUUACUGAAGAUGUUAUGAGCAAGCCAGCAAGUAUGUCUGAUGCUAAUUGGACCAAGAUGAAGAUAAGCGAUGUUUUCUGGCAAAGAAGUCUAUAAUUUCCUUUGCCAAUGAUGAUGGGUAUUGCAAUCACGGGGAGCCUAGUCAAGAGAAGUCUAAUCAAGAGGAUCUUGGUUAAUGAGAAGUUAGAUCAGGGGGAGCUUGGUUAUGGGUAAUUCGAUCAGGGGGAGUCUGGUCAUGAAAAGUUCGAUCAAUGGGAGUUUGGUCAUGAGGAGCAAUCCUAUUUUUGUAUACCUUCCUCAUGGUCUGGAGGGGGAGAUUGUUGGGUUUUUUUCCAGCCCAUGAUAAGUUGUCCUAAAUCUAUUGGGAAUUAAUAGUCUUAGAGGAUUAAAUUGUUUUCCCAAUUGGAGUUGUUUACCCAAUUGGAGUUAGUUUCUCAAUUGGAGUAGGAUUCAUAACUAGAUUCCAAUUAGGAUUAAUAAUCCUUAUUGAAGAAGACCUUUAUUAUGUCUAUAUAAAGGGGCUAUUGUACUAGUUUUGAGAAGGGGAGCAAAACAAUAAAUUGUAUACCACUCAAGGGAUUAGAGUGAGAGAACAUUGUAAAGUAUGUGCGAGAGAAAAGAAAAGAGAUAGUGUAUUUCUUGUUCUUGUUCUUUCAAGUUUUUCGUCAAGUCCUAGUUCUAGAGAUUUAGCAAGAUUAUUGGUUGUGCUCAUUAUUGAUAUAGUGAAAAAUUGUUGUUGCUGUCCCGUGGAUGUAGGCACAUAUUGCCGAACCAAGUAAAUUCUUGGUGUUAUUUAUCUUGGUUAUUUGUUUUUUGAUUUUCGAAAUUUAUUCUUGUUUUUCCCAUUCUGAAACGCGAUAUUCUCAACAGUUAGUUCAUACACAUGAGGGGCUUCUAACUCGGUUAGUUAAAAGCCCCAAAUUCGAUUACCCUUCCCCAACAUCGUUUGUAAAAAAAGAAAGGGUCGGUUCAUGCAUAACAAUCAAUUAUUCAUUGUUUGUAAGAAAGAGGAACUUGUGUGUUCUGCAAUUGGAGGAGAUGGGUUUUGGACUUGGGGUCAUUUUCGUGAAUUGUAACCAAACAAUGGUUUCGUAUUAGUUAGCAAAUACUAGUCCUUAAUCCCCAUGAAUUGGAUACUAAAAUGAAUUAUGCUCCAUUAGUGACGAAUGCAAAAACAAUAACCUUAAUGCGAAAUUAAAGCAGGGUGAAAACAAAUGUUAAUUCAAUUGAAUAAUUAGUGACUUACUGAAUAAGCUUAAAGUUGUUUUCGCGUAGUCAAGAGUAAUGGCCUAGAUGAGGAAAGUUGAAGAUGACAUCAAGUUUCCUCCAUUGGCAACCAUUAAACUAAUAGCUUACUGUUUAACAGAGUUGAACUUUUGAGACAACUUACACUUUUAGAAAAUUUUGGGCAGGGAAUUCCUGCUUCCAAGGAUCUGAACAAUGGGGUAACUUUAAUAGGAGAAGUGAACUCUGUACUUCACGAUGCAUGGUAGUCUUUUGUUGCUUCAUCACAUGAUGAAAAUAUCUCUGGGAAAAGAAAAAUUAGAUAGGUUAUCAAGAAAUCUGAUUCAAUAGGAAACAUAAUGUAUAAUUUAAAACAGUAAGCUAUUAUCAGCCAACAUAUCUUAUAUGUCAAUCCAUUACUUUGCUUUUCGGAAACAAUCCCUUUUUCACAUCAAAUUAAAUGAACAAUUAAAUCCAACCUGCAAUUCAAAUUCCAAACUUUAUAUCAAAUUAAGAAAAAAAAUCAAAUUUUUGUGCUCACCAGUCCAGUUUUUGGGUGCCUGCUCAUGGAAGGAACCUCAAAAGUGGGAACCAAAUGCAUCCCUUUGUGUUAGAGUAUAGUGCUUUAGAUUGUGACACUUGUCAUAAUAUUACUGUAGUUAGUCAGUUAGCUGUUAUAUGUAACUAUAUAUAUAAGAACUCAUCAUGUAAUUACUUACUCAUUAAGAAAUAUAUCAGAUUGUUCUUCUCUCUCUCUAGUUUCUCUCUAGUCUCUCUCUCUAUCUCCUCUGUUCUUGAUUCAAUAUCCAAGAUUACAUUAUAUGUAUAAUCAUUUGAUAUAGCUUAACAUGGUAUCAAUCGCCAUUGUUGCUUACGCUUGAAGAUUUGAUCCUCUGUUGCUUCCACCUUCUCUGAUUCGGAUUGGUUUUUCUUUCUCCAAUCCGACACUUCGUCUUCUCCAAUUUCUACUUUCUGCAAUUUCUACUUUCUGCAAUAUCGUUCUUCUGUUCUUACUCAGUACUUGCUGAAAUCUGCACACCUAGUGUUUGUUGUAUUGUCUCACUGACAAGUUGAUCUUGAAUUCACGAUGGUGACUGCUUCGCAACUCCAGCUGCUUCAAUCUCCGAUUACGGGCCUUAUUUCCUCCAUUUCUACGUCAAUUAAUGUCAAGCUUGAUGAUUCGAACUAUCUCAAUUGGCACUUCCAGAUGCAACUUUUGCUUGACAGCAAUGGCAUCAUGGGGUACGUUGAUGGUUCGAUCACCUGUCCAUCUCAAUAUGCUUUGACCUCUGGUGAAUCUGGUAUCUCUUCUUCUUCUCCGACUGAUGAAUACAUAGUGUGGAAAAUGCAUGACCGAGCUAUUAUGCAAUUGAUUACUGCCACUUUAUCACCUAUUGCUAUGUCCUGUGCGAUUGGUAAUACUAGCUCCAAGGAUCUGUGGAUUAGGUUAAAGGGACAAUUCUCCACUGUAUCUAGGAAUAGCAUUUUUCAGAUGAAAUCCAAUUUGCAAACAAUUAAAAAGGGGUCAGAUUCAAUUUCUCAAUAUCUUCAUCGCAUUAAGGAAGCUAGGGACUAUUUGUCUGCUGCUGGGGUCUAUUUUGCGGAUGAAGACAUUGUUAUUCUUGCUUUGAAUGGUUUACCUGCUAAGUAUAACACUUUCCGGUGUGUUAUAAGAGGGCGUGAAAGUGUGAUUUCACUGAAAGAUUUUUUAUCCCAGUUACUUAUAGAGGAAAUCAUUGUUGAAAAUUCAGUUAUUAAUCCUCUUAUGACAGCUAUGGUUGCUAAUACAGGUUCCACUUACACAAAAGGGGCUUCGUUUCAGUCUUAGGGUUUCUCUCCUCAUCAUGGUCAAUCUCAGGUAGCCACUGGAGGUUUUAAACCUUAUAAUGGGAACAAGAACAAGCGUAAAAGUCGUUUUAAUCAGGGCUCGAGAUUUUUUCGUUCUAGACCCGUGUUUUCCCUUAUGACACAUGUGCUUCCCAACUCUAAUCCUGGAGUUCUUGGUCCAUCUCCUGGUCAACAGUUUGGAAGUCCUUCUGCACCUAUGCUUCAAAUUUUUCAGUUGUGCAAUUCUGAGAGACAUACUGCCCCAUUCUGUGGAGCCUCUUCUCACGAGAAAACCAAAUGUCACAUCUGUGGUCGAAGUAAUCAUACCACUUGGUAUUGCUUCUAUAAUGAUAAGGGUCCAAACUACAUUGGAAUGCAUACCACUACUUCUGUUUCUCCACAGUCCUCCUAUGCUAUGCAACCACAACAUGUUCAGUACCCUACAUAUCAAGCUCCUCCUUAGCAUUCCUCAUUCACACAUUCUCAGUUUCAUGCACAGCAACCCCCUAUGCAAGCCAUGCACACAAUGCUCAAUUCUGCACCUCAGUCAUCAAGUUCUUCAGGUCCUUCUCAGGUGUGGCUCACGGAUUCUGGAGCCAUUAAUCAUAUGACAGCUGAUUUAACUAAUCUGUCCUUGGCCUUACCUUAUCCAACAAAUGAAACCAUUCACACUACAAAUGGGGAAGGUUCGAAAGUAUCUCAUGUUGGUCAUUCUACCAUUCAUACAUCAGUUUCUCCAAUCAAAUUGAACUUUGUGCUCUGUGUUCCUCAAUUAACUCAGAACUUGUUGUCAGUACAUCGUAUUUGCCUUGACAAUAAUUGCUGGCUUAUAUUUGAUGCCUUUUGUUUUUGGAUUCAGGACAAAGCCACAUGAAGGAUCCUUUACAGAGGCUUGUGCAGUAAUGGGCUGUAUCCUAUCCACUCUUUGUCCACUUCAAAUUUCCAGAAGACCAAUCAAGCUAAGGCAUUUCUUGGAGAACUUGUUCAACCUAAUAUGUGGCACCAUAGGUUAGGUCAUCCCACCAAUAAUGUUGUCUUUCUGAUGUUGCAUAAAGCUAAUGUACCUGUUCCCAAAACCUCAUUACCUAUGCUAUGUCAUACAUGUCUAGAAGGGAAAUUUAGCAAGCUACAUUUUCCAAAGCAUGUCAAUAAAUCUGUCAUUCCUUUUGAAACUAUUCAUACUGAUUUGUGGGGUCCUGCACCAUGUAUAUCAGUUGAUGGUUAUAAAUACUACACCAUCUUUAUAGAUGAAUGUACCAGAUAUUGCUGGAUUUUCCCCUUUAUAAACAAGUCUGAUUUGUUCUCUACAUUUGUUGCUUUUCAUUUCUUUGUUACUUAGUUUUCUGCCACAAUUAAAAUUCUUCAAUCUGAUUGGGGGGGGGGGGAGAGUAUACCAGCCACAAAUUGAAAUAUUUUCUUUUUGCAAAAGGCAUUUCACAUCAACUAUCUUGUCCAUAUACCCCUGAACAAAAUGGGGUAGCUGAGAGGAAACAUAGGCAUAUCAUUGAAAUCACUAUCACCCUACUACAAACAGCCAAGUUGCCAUAUCAGUUCUGGUCUUAUGCUUGUCAAACAGCCACAUAUCUAAUCAAUCGAAUGCCUACUGUUGUUCUUCAUAACAAAUCUCCUUUUGAUAUCCUAUUUGGGACAUAUCCACUUCUUACACAUCUUCACAUUUUUGGUUGUGCCUGUUUUCCUUUACUUACACCAUAUAAUAGUACCAAAUUACAAGCUAAAACAACAAAGUGUGUGUUUCUUGGGUAUGCCAUGAUAGGAGCAUAUUUAUGCGACUUAGUUAGCUUGUUCUUGUGCAUUUAUGUUGUUAUUUCUUAGUCAAUUAUGUAUUUUAAGUUAUUUUCGUGUGUUUGUAGGUUCAAAUAACAAAAUUAGCAACAAAGUGUUAUUUGGAGCAUUUUGGAGCAUUUUUGGGCCAAGAUUGGAUAGUGUAAGCAUGGAGACAUGAUUAUGGACGUUUUUUAAGAUUUGAAGGCUAGAAAUCAGCAUGUGUGUGUGCAAGUGUGUUGACCUACAACUCCAAACAUCCAUCCACUACACCCAUUACAUCCACUCAUUACCAAACAUCCACCCACUACACCCAUUACAUUCACUCAUUACCAAACAUCCAUCCACUACACCCAUUACAUCCACUCAUUACCAAAUAUUCACCCACUACACCCAUUACAUCCACUCAUUACCAAACACUCAUCCACUACACCCAUUACAUCCACUCAUUAUCAAACAUCCAUCCACUACACCCAUUACAUCCACUCAUUACCAAACACUCACCCACUACACCCAUUACAUCCACUCAUUACCACAACAUACACCACUACCAGCUUGUGUAACUGUUUAUUCUCAUGCUUGAGCCCUCUAAUCUCCUGUUUGAGACUCAUCACUUCAGCCGCCAACGAUUCAACUUGAUGGGUUCGAGCAAAUAGGCGUUGGGCCAUAUUGGACAUAGAACCUGCACACUGCACACUGAGAGCCAGAGAAUCCUUAACAGCCAACUCAUCAGAUCAUUUGGAAAGUAGUCUGUUAUCUUUGGGAAUGACAAGGUUUCGGGCCACCACCAUAGCGGUCAUAUCAUUUUUCAUCACCGAAUCCCCAACGGUAAGAGGACCAGUAAGGGAUAUGAAGGAUGGGCGCCAUAUGUUGUAUGGAGAAGGCAUGGAUGCCUCUUCACCAAGGUUUAAGUCAAAACGAUGGUCAGAAGGGCCAGACAUUUUCAGAGGUGUUAAGAAAAAAGAGGUCGGACAAGUUAAGAUCGUAGAAGUGCAAGAAGGGAGUUUCUACAGGCAGAAAUUCAAGUGUGCUUUGAACAUCCUGCGUACCUCUAUAAAAAUCAGCACUCGACGGGAUUUCAGAGAUCGAAGAGGUAAGCUCAGAAAUCGAAGAGGCCAACUCAAAAAUCGAAGAGGCGCUAGCUUUCUCAAAAGUUGGGCUUGCUCAGAAACCACGACCAAUCUUCUUUUCCAGAUUUGUCCGCACUUGUCACUUGCAACCUUUGCACUCGACGGGAUUUUAGAGAUCGAAGAGGCAAGCUCAGAUAUCGGAGAGGCAUCUGCUUUUCCAGACGUGUCAGCAUCUAUCACAUGCAAAGUCAGCUUUGCGAAAAUCACGAGCAAUUGUCGAAGCGCCAAUUACAGAUAUCGGAGAGGCAUAUGCUUUUCCAGACGUGUCAGCAUCUGUCACAUGCAAAGUCAGCUUUGCAAAAAUCACGGUUAGUUUGUCGAAGCGCCGAUUCUAGAUAUCGAAGAGGCACUUGCUUUUCCAGAUGUGUCAGCGCAUGUCACAUGCACACUCAGCCUUACACAAAUUACAGGCAAUCUGUCGAAGAUCUCUUGUGAAGUAGAAAGCACGUGAAGUUUACUAUUAAAUCAUCCAACGGUUGCUGACAAGAGUGAAAGAAUAGUACCGGUUAUUAAUUCCUAUAAAUGUCACCCUUCACCCUCCAUUGCAAGGCAUACAUACAUAACCCUUCUUCUUUUCCGAGAAUGUCUUUCCAACAAACCCUUUCGAGUCACUCAGUGUUCCUUAUUCCUUAGGGUACCUCUACAAACAACUCAUCCAAAGCAAAAGUAUUUCAUAUCAUAAAGGUUGAAAGCAAGAGUAUCUCAUAUCAUGCUUUCUCCCUGUCCUUCUCCUUGUCAUUGUUUUGGGACAAGGAGAAAGAGAGCAAUCAGCCAGCACUUGGUAUCAAUCUUCCGAUCUGGAACCUACUGCCUGGAACCCCUUCCUGAUUGCUUACCUAGCCUUGCUCUCGAGUACUUAUCUUCAUCAUCUUAUGCUUCCUCUUCGUCUACCACAUCUGCUUGGGGAACAGAUAAGGGAAGUGAAAAUGAUACCUCAAAGCAUGUGGAGACAGCUAGGGACAAGGAGAAAGAAAGCAAGAGGUGGGUGAAGGAAUUUAUUUUGAAAAAACAUGUUCAUUUGAAUAACAUCAUAUGGCAUGCAAUUAACAAAUUAAAGGCGGAAUCAUGCUUGUAUGCAUUCAAAAACAAAACAUUACCCAUGAAAUUCAAAGCCCAGUAGAUUGGUGAACCAAUAAUCAACUCAAAACAAAGUGAGUUGAAAUUAAUACCUUUGUAGAUUCCUCUUUGCAUAAGCAAAGGCUAAUCACCCAAAGAGAUAGGGGCCUUCAUUCCUUGCUUCUUAGAUCCAUGGAUUUGGAUGGAAGAAUAGGUUUCUCCAAGUUCCCAAAAUAGGGAACCUCUAAGUCUCUUCACCAAGGUUUGAUUGUAGAAGAAAUGAGUGACCUUGGAGUAGUAGGAUUGCUAGAUGUACCCUCCAAGGUGUUAGCUUCUUUAGAGAGAUAAUGGAGAGACAAUUCUCACCCAUUUUCACCCAAAAUAAACCCUUAAUCACAUUAAUGAAUAUUUGGCUAUAAAGUCAUUUAUAUAGUCACUUCUUUAAGUGACCUAAACAACCAAAACCCUAAUUCAUACACAUAUGGCCGGCCAUUUAGGGGAUUUUUGGGCUUUUGGGCCUUUAAUGAAUCUUUAUUCAUUAAAUUGUCAUACAACUUAAGUUAAUGGGCUUGACGUUCGAAGCCCAUUGGGCCUUAAGGUCAAAACUAUCCCGAAGUCUUUAACGAACUUAUUCGUUUGAUUAAUUAACAUAUUAAUUAAUCCUUGCCAUAAAUAAAUGAUUAAACCAUUUAAUCAUUCUUACUCAUUUCCGUUUUAAUCUUCAAUCUCCACCUUUUAUGGUGUGCGAUCCAUUAGGUUCCUUUUAGCGAGGCAGUGGGCGAUUAAAACCAUUUUACAUCGAUUGUGAAUUGAAACAAUUUUCAAUUCUCCCUUUAGUGGUUAUACACGUAUAGGGCUUCCACAAACCAUGGUUGACGCCUAGCAGCAUGUCAUGGUUACCCAAGCUAAUCAGAAGAGGAUAGAGAACCUAUUCAGUUCGGGAUUACAAAUGCAAUACGGUCCUUCUCUAAUCUAAUACUCUUGACCACAUUGUUUGGUAUGAUAGUUUAUUUACUCAUGUCUACUAUCCAAUGUGAAUCGUUUGCUUAUAUGAUUUCCUUGAAUGUGAUUUGGAACGCAUUCCCCAAUCUCAUUCAUACUCUGGCCAGAGAUUCCAAAUCAUAUCAUAGAGUAUUCUCCCUCAACUGUUUGAAGGUUAGAGAUCCCUUGUUGCGCAUUUACUUGUCUCCAUAGCUAAGUGGCUUAACCCCAACGAUGCCGUGACACCCCUAGGGGGUGAAUUAGACAUAAUCAAAGAUUAAGGACUUAACCACAAGACAACUGUGAUGCCUCAGGUCAAAGGACUACUUUUGCAUUAUCCCAACCAUGAGUUCUCAUGUGACAUGGAAUAUAAGAACUCUUCGUUGAUCACGUUCAGUGAACUCAUUCUCUUAUUGAGCACCUACGUACUUGUCUUGAUGUCACACACACCAAUGACUCGAGACUAGUCACUCUCCCUGAGAGAAGACACAGUACGUACUGAUCUUAACGGACUGUCAAUGCCCAAUUGGUAAUCCUAUGAUCAGGAACAUUUAGGAUGUGUCUACGAAAGAAUGGUCUCAUUAAUCUAACUUCAUUAGAUUGCAUUCUCCCAAUCACAUAUUCCUUGGACUUUAUCGUUUAAGCAUAUAACAUUUAUAUGAGACGGCUCAAACAAUAAUCUUUGCCCUUUAUAUGUUAAACUAGAUUAGUUUAACAUUUGAAAUGUCCGUAAAGUAUCAUCAUAUGAUUGGUUUUAGGGCACAUUUCCAACAGUGGGCACUUAGAAAGAUUGAAGAAAGAAACAGACCAACACCUCUACCUCUUGCCUGCCUGCCGUGUAGAAGAAACAAGCAGAGACGAAUGCAGACUGUACAAUCAACUCAACCCAGCAGAAAGAGUCUGAUUUCAAACCAGGGAACUCUCAUAGUCCUCGUUCAGAAUUCCAAACCAGUUCGAGAUCAAAGCUGUGGAAAGUCAAUAAGAUCAUCUAUCUCCAAAACUAGAUUUAUGUUCUUAAACUCUACUCUGUCUGGUUUUUACUUUGCCAUACUUGUCAUGUUUAUUCGUUGUUUGUUUGUUUACUUGUUUUUGUGUGAGUUUAUGCUUGAAACAUUAAGGACAAUGUUUGAUUUAAGUGUGGGGGGGGGUAACCAAGUUGUUUUGCAUGAAAUUCGUAGGAGUUUAUCACCCAUUACUUCUAGUGUUGUUCCUUGCUGUUUUAAGUGUUUUUUAAGCUGUUUUAGAGUGUUUUAGUGUGUGUUUUGACAUAAAAAAAUCCGAAAAUCUCAUAAAAAUUUGAAAAAAUUUGUUUUGAAAAAACCCAAAAAGAGUUGUUUUUGUGUGUUUAUUUUGUGUCUUAGGGUACCUUCCAACACAAUGAUGAGGAUUUGGUUUUUAAUUACAUGACUGUUAAAGAGAGUUAUAAACAUGGAUGAAAGUUUGAUUUACUCUUUGGUUAUGCUUGGUUGUGGUUAUAACUUUAUGAAUUCACAUGCAAUCAUAAAGAAAAAAAAAAAUCAGUUUUUGUAACAUGCUUGAAGGAAGGAACUCAAACUAACGCUACAACCUUGUGAGACUUGAGCCUAAACGUUUAUUUGGAGAGUUAAAAUCUGUGCAUUCUUGUUUUCUAAAGUCGUUGCAUGAUCUCAUUAUUCUUUGCUUGGUUGCUACUUAGAAGGCGUUUCAUCAUUUAGUUCCAAAUGCUAGAACUCAUGCCUAUUUCAUUCAAAGCAUGUUAUUGAUUUGCAUAAACACAUAUUCAAGAUGAAGUUGUGUAGUGACCACCACCAAGCCAAAAAGCCAUGAUCCCUAUUCAUUAUGUGUUUAAGUUUAACCCCGUUGAGCCUUGUUAGCCUAUGUUCUUUGUUAACCCACAUUAUCCUCACCUAGCCUAGAUUAGGACCAUCCAUACCCUUGUUCUUAAAGCAUAGUAAAGCAUGACUUAAAAAUUGAAUUCCUUUUUUUAUCAAUGUAUUGGCAGAAAACAAGUGUGGGGGAAGUGAUUCUUGUGUUGUGUGUGUGUGUGUGCCAAAAGUCCUUAAUAAGGCACGGAAGAAAAGAAAAAAAAAAAAAAAAAGAGUGAAAAGAAAAAAAGUUUGUUAAAAAAAGGGUCCAAAACAUUGAAUUCGGCCCUAAGUGUUGCAUUGAAUCUUCCCUUUGUGUUUAAAAGUUGAUUUCUGCAUUCUAAAGUGAAUUCUAAGUGUCUAAUUUCAUUGCUUUGCUUGCUAUUGCUUUAAGAACGUUUGUUAUUCCUAUCCUUUCUUGUUUAGCCAUUACCCCCAAGCCCCGUUACAACCCUUGAACUUCAAUCUUGAGUGUUGUGUGUUUCAAUUUGUGGAGUUUGAAAUUUGGUAUGAGCAUAUGGUGUCACUGGUUCUCGCAUCUAAGUAGUAGCAUUCCAUUCAUGAGAUCAUAUCUAAACAUGCUUAUUAACUCCAGAAAUUGCUUUCUUUGUUAUAACAUAUGUGAGCAUAGUCGUUUUCAUGUUUACAUCAAUCUUCUCACAUAUAACUAGUGUAGGGUGUGUAGUCAGAAAAUCUGAGUGAAAAUAGAGUGUAUCUUGUAAGGAAUUGAGGGAAUUCUCUAAGGCAUGUUACUACAUUCAAAAUGUUGUUUUAAUUGAUUAAAUUGUGAACUAGUAAUGGUGACUAUGAUUAAGUAUGUGCUUAAGGUGUAAGGAUGACUUAAAUCUAUGUAAGUGGUGAUCUUUGGCAUGUCAUGUUUCAUUGGAAAAUCCCUGAGGCAAAUGUUGGAAGGUUUAGGUUAUUGUUUUGUUUGUUUCGUUUGUUUUGUUUUGCUCGAGCACUAGCAAAAGCUAAGUGUGGGGGAAUUUGAUAAGAGCAUAUUUAUGCGACUUAGUUAGCUUGUUCUUGUGCAUUUAUGUUGUUAUUUCUUGGUCAAUUAUGUAUUUUAAGUUAUUUUCGUGUGUUUGUAGGUUCAAAUAACAAAGUUAGCAACAAAGUGCUUUUGGAGCAUUUUGGAGCAUUUUUGGGCCAAGAUUGGAUAGUGCAAGCAUGAAGACAUGAGGAUGGACGAUUUUUAAGAUUUGAAGGCUAGAAAUCAACAUGUGUGUGUGCAAGUGUGUUAACCUACAACUCCAAACAUCCAUUGACUACACCCAUUACAUCCACUCAUUACCAAACAUCCACCCACUACACCCAUUACAUCCAUUCAUUACCAAACAUCCAUCCACUACACCCAUUACAUCCAUUCAUUACCAAACAUCCAUGAUGUGAGAAUUACUUGACACACAAAUUAAACCCUCUUUUUGACAAUUGUAGUAUAGAUGUAAGUAGGGUAUCGUUCUAGGCCGGGGAUUAGGAGGGAUUGCUAAUCUAUCCUAAAUUAAUUUAAAAAUAUUAAACAAGACUCAAGGAUACAAAACUAGGCUAAAAACUCUAAUAACUCGAAACACACUUAAAAUGACUCAAAAUAAUGGAAACAAUUAAAUUAAACACUAGGAACUGAAAUGGACGGAAAUUAAAUUAAAAGACUAACAAUAAAGAAAACUAAAUAAAUAAUAUAAUUUAAUAAUGGAUGGGUGUUUGGUUUUGAUGAAAAGUAAAUUAAACUUAAUUAAAAUUACAGAAUUGACAAAACAUGAAAUUAAGGUAAAAUGAUAAAUGACGGACUAGCUAGAGGGUUCUUCUCCACACAUGUUAUACUUGCAUACAAAAUGAUUUCCAGUUGUUCAUUUAAUAAAUUGUGAAUUUCAAAUACUCCAGAUUAACCGUGAAUAGCACUUUUUUUUAAUCUUCAAGUUUUCCUUAAGUUAUUGAAUUGGACGGGAAAACGCAUACAACAAUUCAAAACAUUCUUCAAAAGUCCCCUACGUGAAAAGCACAAUAGAGAUACAAUCAAAGAUCAUUAAACUUUGUGAAAAACUAUAAGCAUUGACGAGGGCAUUCGUAACUAUGAAAAGCAUGAUACUCUUUGCCAAGAAUUUACUUAACGUGAUUGUGACUAGCAACCUUUUACUACUUGUGAAAAUAAGUUCAUAACGAUUAGGUGAAAUUCACUUAUAUUCUAGCAUCAAAUUCAUGUGCAUGUAAAUUAAGCGUGCACUCUCAACCAACAUACACAAAUCAGUUUUUAUACGAACGGAUAAGUAAAUUGAAAUCACAAACUUAUGAAAUCACAACCGAAGGUAAUCAAUUCAUAUUACAAAUAUAUUCAUGGUUUUGAAUUAACCUCUAGCCAAAAUAAAAUUUAAUUACACAUUAUUAAAACAGAAAUAAAAUAGAAGUUUGGAAAGAUUUAACCGAGAGCGAGAGUGUUUCUGCUUCCUGUGCGCUGACCUCCUUCGUUCUGCCUUCUUCCUGACCUCCACGUCAGCUCCUGGCUCCCACGCUGCUCUGACUUCUCCUCUCGUCUCACCCAGUCCGAGUCCUCCUCGGUUUUCUGCUGCAGCAAGGCAGCUGUCUGCUCCUCUUUCCUCUCCG